rnacentral:rRNA from 1 species
UACGUAGGGUGCGAGCGUUGUCCGGAAUUAUUGGGCGUAAAGGGCUCGUAGGCGGUUUGUCACGUCAGGAGUGAAAACUCGGGGCUCAACCCCGAGCCUGCUUCUGAUACGGGCAGACUGGAGGUAUGCAGGGGAGAACGAAUUCCUGGUGUAGCGGUGAAAUGCGCAGAUAUCAGGAGGAACACCGGUGGCGAAGGCGGUUCUCUGGGCAUUACCUGACGCUGAGGAGCGAAAGUGUGGGGAGCGAACAGG